rnacentral:ncRNA from 2 species
UAUAUGUAUGGGAAUGAGGUUCUCCCACGGAUUUUUUCCGAAACCGCUUUUGCUGAUGACUUCUGUUUUAUA